rnacentral:rRNA from 1 species
GUCCAGACUCCUACGGGAGGCAGCAGUGGGGAAUAUUGCACGAUGGGGGGAACCCUGAUGCAGCGACGCCGCGUGGGUGAAGGAGUAUUUCGGUAUGUAAAGCCCUAUCAGCAGGGAAGAACAAUGACGGUACCUGACUAAGAAGCCCCGGCUAACUACGUGCCAGCAGCCGCGGGAAUACGUAGGGGGCAAGCGUUAUCCGGAUUCACUGGGUGUAAAGGGAGCGUAGACGGCGACGCAAGUCUGGAGUGAAAGCCCGGGGCCCAACCCCGGGACUGCUCUGGAACUGCGCGGCUGGAGUGCAGGAGGGGCAGGCGGAAUUCCUGGUGUAGCGGUGAAAUGCGUAGAUAUCAGGAGGAACACCGGCGGCGAAGGCGGCCUGCUGGACCGCGACUGACGUUGAGGCUCGAAAGCGUGGGGAGCGAACAGGAUUAGAUACCCCGGUACUC